UGUGAAGAACUUUUUCUCUACAAUUGUUGAUACAAAGGUAUCCUAGUACGCCUAUAAAACGAUUCGUUUUAUAAAUUUAUGUUAGUUACAAAUCGGGAAAGAUGACGAGAUUCGUGGUCCUCGCUUGCCUGUUACUUGUGGUAUCCGUAAGCCUGGCUGAAGAAAACAACCCAAACAUGAACCCAUCCGAAGCUGCAAAGCCUGAUCAUAACAUGAUCAAUUCUACGAAAGGAGUAGAAAUACCGAAAAUUCUAGAAAAAUCUGAUCCUAACUUAAAGGAGAAAAAUUAAAUUCUUUGUUUAAUUUUUAUAUCAAUACCAUUACUAAGACUACUACUAACUUUCAUCCAUACAAACCUUUAACAUGAAAUAAAUGGCGUUGGUCAACCAUAGUAAUUGUGUGAUUUGAUAUUUAUUUCUCAUAAAUAUUUUAUAAAAGUUUAAUAUUGUACUAAACAAUUAAAUUUUACUGCAGCA